ACACUUCUAACACCUUAUUUUCUCUCUAAUGGCAUCCGAAAAUAGCUGAAAAAUCACCUUAAUUCUUCCCAUGUGCUAAGAAGCUUUACUCCAUUCUUGUAAAAUAAGGUUAGAGCCUUCAGGUAGAUGCUCGCGAGCUAUCAAAGAUUCAAUAUCUGAGAGGCAGGAUCCUGAUGGAUUCACCUGGAAGGCAGUGUCCAAGGAGGUGAAAGAUUUUUAUUUCGACGAGUUCAAGAAAACAUGUGUUUGGAGACAAGACGAAAAAAUAAUACAUAAAGCAUGGGCAAAGAAAGCGAGUGUCCUUUAUUCAAACUUUUGCAGUGAUGCCCGGGCAAGAUGGGUAAAAGGUGGACAUGAUAGUAGAGUUGCUAUGCAUGUAUGGUUGCGUUGGGUUGAGUUUUGGAAAACCCUUAAUUUUCAAGUUAAAUCAAAUACUCAAAAGAAGAAUCACAAGGGUGGAGCUGACAAAUACCUUCCAACCCACACAGGUGGUUCAGCCUCUUUAA